rnacentral:rRNA from 1 species
GAUGAACGCUAGCGGGAGGCCUAACACAUGCAAGCCGAGCGGUAUUUGUCCUUCGGGACAGAGAGAGCGGCGUACGGGUGCGGAACACGUGUGCAACCUGCCUUUAUCUGGGGGAUAGCCUUUCGAAAGGAAGAUUAAUACCCCAUAAUAUAUCGAAUGGCAUCAUUCGAUAUUGAAAACUCCGGUGGAUAGAGAUGGGCACGCGCAAGAUUAGAUAGUUGGUGAGGUAGCGGCUCACCAAGUCAGUGAUCUUUAGGGGGCCUGAGAGGGUGAUCCCCCACACUGGUACUGAGACACGGACCAGACUCCUACGGGAGGCAGCAGUGAGGAAUAUUGGACAAUGGGUGAGAGCCUGAUCCAGCUAUCCCGCGUGAAGGACUAAGGCCCUAUGGGUUGUAAACUUCUUUUAUACUGGGAUAAACCUACUUACGUGUAAGUAGCUGAAGGUACAGUAUGAAUAAGCACCGGCUAACUCCGUG